CGGGCCAAGUUCCUUGGAACAGGACGCCCAAGAGGGUGAGAGCCCCGUACGCCCGGGACCCACCGCCGCAAGAAGCUUCUUCGACGAGUCGAGUUGUUUGGGAAUGCAGCUCUAAGCGGGAGGUAAAUUUCUUCUAAAGCUAAAUAUUGGCUAGAGACCGAUAGCGCACAAGUAGAGUGAUCGAAAGAUGAAAAGCACUUUGGAAAGAGAGUUAAAAAGCACGUGAAAUUGUUGAAAGGGAAGCUCUUGCUGUCAGACUUGUCGCGGUUGUUCAGCCGCCCCCUUCGGAGCGGUGUAUUCUUCUGCGGCGGGCCAGCAUCAGCUCAGGCGGCCGGACAAAGGCCCCAGGAAUGUAGCUCCCUUCGGGUGGUGUUAUAGCCCGGGGCGCAAUGCGGCCAGCCGGGGCUGAGGAAAGCGUUUUUGCUAGGAUGCUGGCGUAAUGGCAGCAAGCGACCCGUCUUGAAACACGGACCAAGGAGUCUAACAUCUGUGCGAGUGUUUGGGUGUCAAACCCAUGCGCGUAAUGAAAGUGAACGGAGGUGGGAACCCUUACGGGGUGCACCAUCGACCGAUCCUGAUGUCUUCGGAUGGAUUUGAGUAAGAGCAUAGCUGUUGGGACCCGAAAGAUGGUGAACUAUGCGUAGAUAGGGUGAAGCCAGAGGAAACUCUGGUGGAGGCUCGCAGCGGUUCUGACGUGCAAAUCGAUCGUCAAAUCUGCGUAUAGGUAAGCAGAAUGCGACCCGUAUAUAGUUUGUACCAUGAACUACGCUAAUUUGUCAUAAAACUUUCAGGGGCGAAAGACUAAUCGAACCAUCUAGUAGCUGGUUCACGCCGAAGUUUCCCUCAGGAUAGCAGUAACGUUUUCAGUUUUAUGAGGUAAAGCGAAUGAUUAGAAGCCUUGGGGGCGUAACGCCCUUAACUUAUUCUCAAACUUUAAAUAUGUAAGAAGUCCUUGUUGCUUAGUUGAACGUGGACAAUUGAAUGCACCGUUACUAGUGGGCCAUUUUUGGUAAGCAGAACUGGCGAUGCGGGAUGAACCGAACGCGGGGUUAAGGUGCCGGAAUGCACGCUCAUCAGACACCACAAAAGGUGUUAGUUCAUCCAGACAGCAGGACGGUGGCCAUGGAAGUCGGAAUCCGCUAAGGAGUGUGUAACAACUCACCUGCCGAAUGAACUAGCCCUGAAAAUGGAUGGCGCUCAAGCGUGCUACCAAUACCCCGCCGCCGGGGCAAGAACGACGCCCCGGCGAGUAGGCGUGCG
rnacentral:rRNA from 1 species